rnacentral:tRNA from 1 species
GCCCAGAUGGCUCAGUCAGUAGAGCAUCAGAAUUUCAAUCUAAUGGUACAGGGUUCAAGUCCCCGUUUGGACC